GCAUAAAUCACACCUCAGAGUCUAUACUGAUUGAGGCGGGGAAGCUCGGCCUCCUCCAUGGAUGCACAGCAGCGGUCAGACACUGCCUAGGGGCUGCUCCGGGAGAUAGAAACUUCCAGGCACUUCCCCCGCUCACGAAGCUUCUCUGAGAUGCCUUCUCAGGGUAGUCUGGUCAAGGACAGGCUUAGCUUGGUGGCCAGCGCUGACCUUGCUGGUUAGGAGGCCCUUGAGACUCUCAGGCAGAUGGCUGAUUCUGGAUGGGAAACAGGCCCCCACGCAGGUCUCCCGUAUUAGCCCCCAUACCCCGCUCCAGGGCGCGUGGGCCCCAGAAGCAGAGCCAUCCCACGUGUGGGGAAGACUGAGGUUGUGCCCUUCAUUGGAGCAGGUCCCAAUGACUAACGGCAUAUCCCAGAGAAAGAGCACUCCUGCCAGGCAGCUGGCCGGGGCAGAGACGUGGAGGAAGGACAGCCCUCCCUCAGGCGAGCCUCGGCAUGUCCAAUUCUGCACCCAGGCCCUCGUGCUCAAGCUGGUCAACGAACAGUUUCAGACGAUCAGACGGGUGACACCGGAUUUCACACUUAGGUCCUCUCACACUUGUCCGGCCCGCUUUGCGGAAGAUGUCUGUGGACAUAUUAAACUCAGCACAACCCGGUGAACGAUCCUACCCGCUCCCCCCCUCCAAGCUCUACCCAAAGUGCCUCCUGUGCCACCCGCUGCGGAGGCCGCACCUAGGGAAGCACCAGGCGCCCCGGAGCCCCAGCCCCAUGCACCCCUACCCCCCACUGGCCCCGCAGGGUCUCUGCGUCCCCUGCUGGCUGAGCCUGGGAGCGGCUGUUGCUCAGCUCCUUGGGGGUCCGGGGUCUGGGGUCGCGACCUGCUGCUGCCUUUGGCCUGCCACUUGGUGUCAUUAACUGUGGGGUUCUUCAAUUGUGAGGGCUGAAGAAAGAGCCGGGGCCCAAGCACCGGGGAGCUUGACACACCAGACCCGUCAGAGGCUGUGGAGCGAGGACGAAACUCAGCGCCCUGACCUCUAUCCCAGCAAGUUCAUGGGCCCGGAAGAAAAUCGGGAGGCUGGGCCCCCACAGCUUGGAGCAGGCCAGGACGGGGCGGCGCAUGGAGCCCAGGAAGCCAAGGAAGUGCUGCAGCCCCACCUCCAGGGAGACGGCCUUGGAGAACAUGCUGGAGUAGGCCUGGGGCUGGAUGAGCACGCGGAACUCACUCUCCCGGUUUACAGCCGCCAGCUGGCUAAUCUUCUGGGCUGGGCAGGAGAGAAGGCAGGCCUCCAGUCGGGACCAUCGGUCGCUGAGCCGAGACUCCAGCCUGCUCAGAGCCCUGGGACACGCGGCCCACCUGUGCGACCUACUCCCUUCAGAACGUGGCUCAGAGCCGCCCUGUGAGGUCUGCAAACGACUCCCCCAUCCUCGGGGGGCACCACUAUUUCUGCCUGGCUGGGCCGGCCCCAGGCUGAGUCUGUGCCACACGGCAGGCUGGGACCUUCUGGUUCGACAAAGGGUACUGCAGGUAAGGCCUGUGGGGCGGUGAGGGGCUCCUGGGAGGAGGGCUCAUCUUCCUCCACGACCUCGGCCUCCAGCCUCCCUGCGCAGCCCAGCGGUGGCAUGAGCCUCUACCCAGAACCCCGCCCUCGAGGCCCAUGGCCUUGCUUGGACUGCCGGCCUCAGAGCGGGGACUUCCCACACGGUGGUUCUGUCUAGAAGUGCGCUGCCAGGGCUCAGAGAAGCGCUGGUCAGAGGUGAGCUCAAGAAUGCACCUGCCUCAUGCUCUCAGGCGCUGGUCAAGGCAGGAGUCCUUAUUCCAUCAGCCAAGAGGGACACCUGGGGUCCCGGGGGGACGCCACGCGCUGCCUGCUUUCUGGCUGCUGUCACUGGCCAGAGCUCUGGGCUCUCCUGGGCUCAGAACAUAGCUCUGCCUGCACCUAUUUCCGGGACUCGGAGACUAAGCUUAGAGCGGGGUGGGGGUGGCCACUGGAGAACCCACUUUCACUGUCAAUCUUGAGGUCAAAGAAAACCAGGGGCCUGUCUUCUGCUUGGGGGUCGGCGAGGCUGUUGUCCAGGACCCUGAGGGAGCUAGGGCCCUCCAGCUGGAGGUCACUGGACUCGCUGCUGCUGUCGUCCAGCUCUCGGGAGGACUGCAACACAGAAAAACCAACAGGUCAGGGGUCCGGAGGGCGAGGGUGCAUGCUGGCAAUGCGAGCCUGUGCCCGUGAUGAGCCUGUGUGUGCGUGCCUGCAUGGUGUGAAUGUGGGGACACGAAUGAGCUGGUGUGGUCGGCGGCACCGGCACGCACACGAGGGAGGGCAGGGUGUCGGGAAGAGGGAGGUGUAUGUCUGAGUGUGCGCGCACGAGGAUGUGUCGCAAGAAUGCACGUCGAUGUGUGUGUGCACGUGAGGCCAUGUGUGAACCACACAGUAGUGAGCAGGAGUGAGAGACUGAGAUCACGCGGCGGCAUGUGUGUGAAAGAACGAGCAAGGGAACGAGGGCAAAUGUCAAACGUGUGUGUGCAUGCAUUGGGUGUGAAUUUGUGAACCUGUGUUGACAGGUGUGUGGGCCUGUGAGUGUAUGUGAGGGAGUGCACGGUGUGGGUGUGGACGCUCAGGGAAGGGGCCAGUGCUGUGGGGGGCACGGCCGGAGGGUCUGCUGCUCCCUUCUCUCUGAACAGACGCGGAAGAAACUCAUGAGCUUGGGACAGGAGGAAGGAGGCUCAGCUCAAACCCCAGAACUUCCUCGGGAAGGGGCCUGGAGCCUGGCUCUUCUCGUCCCCGUGGCCAGCCCAGGCCCCAGCGCCCUACACAGAGGCUGGGGCGAGGGGUCCCGCUCAGCCUCAGGAGCGCCCCAUCUGUGGCUGCAGGGCCGGGCAGCGAGAGCAGUGGGGAGAGGCCUCGCGACUGCUCAGGGAACCCUCAGGCCCAGGGCUCCCCUACCGGGGCGCCCGAGGCCCUGUUCCCUCCAGCUCAAGGCAGAGACACCGAGCGGCUCGGGGCUGGGGGAAGGCUCCAGGGCUGCAGCUCCCUUCAUCUGCACAGCUGCCAACCCCACAAGUGUCUUCGGUGGCCUGCUCAGGAUGUCCUGGGAAUGCCACCUGCGGGUGGAGCCAGAGACCAAGAGGAAAGGACAAGGCCGAUGUCACGGGCCAGGAGGGGGGCGGGGGUAGGGGGGUACUGCUGGCACAGUCCAGAGCAGGCCCCGGGUCUUCCUGCUUCCGGACAGCCUCUAGCAGGGUGAUGCUGGGUCGACUGCCCUGCGGCUACCUGAAGCCUCCCAGGAUUAAUGCUGGCUUCCGGCUAAUGUCCCUGGCUCGGGGGCGGGGGGGGUGGGGGUGGCAUGGCUCUAGCCCUAAUUUUACUCCCCAGGUGAAACAUUUUAACAAAACAUCAGCCAAGAGCCAAGUCAUUACUCAGCACAGGUAAAAUGUGCUGGAUUUUCCUAGGAGUGGCUGAGUUUUACUGUUUGCUUUCCAUGGCCCUACCCCAGGCUCACCAGGUCCUCCCAGUCACUGACAGAAAGACUAUGAAUCCAUCUAGAGUGGGUCUUGCUUAAAGCCCGAGAUGUGCUCCUGGAGACCCGGGAUCGAGUCCCACGUCAGGCUCCCUGCAUGGAGCCUGCUUCUCCCUCUGCCUGUGUCUCUACCUCUCUCUCUCUCUCUCUCUGUGUGUCUCUCAUGAAUAAAUAAAUAAAAUCUUAAAAAAAAAAAAAAAAAAAAAAGAGAGAAGCCGAGAGUUAGGGGGUUCCACACAUAAGGCCCCUGCAUAUCCCGAUCCCUGAUUUGGCCAUGCAUCAAAUGUGGAUUUUGCCUGCCUUGCUCUGAGUCUUCUCAUGGCCCCAGCUCCCUUCCGUCCUGUAAGGAGCCUCUGCAGGUGUCUUCCUCCAAGUUGCUGGCUAACGGUCCAGAGACGUCACCUUCUUCCCCUGCCCCGGAAGGAAAAAUCCAAGUUUUUUUUUUUUUUUUUUUUUUUUUUUUUUAAUCUUCAGCCUUCCAGACCUUGCUCUUGCAAGCUCACCAAGCUCUUGGGCUGGUGGAAAGAGCUGGACUCCUCUUGCUGUGUCCUCCCCAGAGCCAAAGAACUGUCCCUUUUCCCGAGGCCUCUUGGUCACCCACUGACAUGGCACACUGCCAGCUUUCUCUUCGUCCUUCCUAUUUUUGAUCCUAAUAUAACAGCAAAUGCACAUACAGUGGCCCGGAGUCCUUCCACCAGUCUCCUUCCUUCUGGAAUAUCUUCUUGGGCUUUAGAGCCAUAGUCAGCUCUUCGGAUAUCCUCUUCCAAGAUCUGAACUCCCUGGAGAGCAGCACCGCAGCUUCCUUGGGCCAGCUCCAUCCUCAUACCGGGGUCAUUUAUGAUGGCCAGCAGAAUCUCAUUUGUAGGGCCUCCCGUUGUCCUGGGGUCAUUUUCUCUUUUGUGGUGGCACAACAUUUUCUCUUACGUUCGGUUUCCCGAACGUACUGAAGACCAUGCUGGCUCCCUUCAUAGAAGGACAGCCUCCCUUCUGCUGAGCUCGUCCCUGGCGGGAAGGCUGGAACCUCCAGCCCUGACUCUUCUUCCUCUCGGAUUCCUCUUCACUCUCGGGACUUCUGUCGAGUGCAGUUAGCGCACGGGGAUGAUCUCGCCAGAACGCCUUCCACUGAACUCCAGCUGGCCGUACACGCGAGCCCCCUCCCUGCCCUAAAUCCCAGCAACACGGCCAGGAAGUACUGGCACGCUUAGAAGAGACGUCGGAAGACCCAGCAAUCAACACAAGAUGCAGGCUGUCUUCCUGCCCCCCCCUGCUCACAGAAGGGGCGCCACUGCUGGGCUUCCGUCCACCGUCCGGGUGACUGAGUGUGCGGGUGGGGAGCGGAGAGGGAUAGUAGGAGAGACCCGGACCCAAGCCAGGAAAAGGCCUUUUCUUGCAAAAUGCUUGAGAUCUGCUGGGGAGGGAAGAGGAACAGCGGGAGAGGAAACAGAGCGGGGGAAGAUGAGAGUCCACAUGCAUGACCUGGAAAGUGAGAAGUGGGAAGCUCCAGGGAACAAGCGAGCGGGCGGGCGUGGUGGGAAUGGAAGGAGAGAGGAAGAGGACUUGAAGAUGUGCUUCUGGGAGCUGGGAGUCAAACCCCCUUUAAUAUUCUUUGAAAGAUGCAAGUAAAUACUAGGCUUCAUUUCUUUA